AUUCCUACGGGACGCAGCAGUGGGGAAUAUUGGGCAAUGGGCGCAAGCCUGACCCAGCAACGCCGCGUGAAGGAAGAAGGCUUUCGGGUUGUAAACUGCUUUUAAGAGGGAAGAGCAGAAGACGGUACCUCUUGAAUAAGCCACGGCUAACUACGUGCCAGCAGCCGCGGUAAUACGGAGGUGGCAAGCGUUGUCCGGAUUGACUGGAAGUAAAGGGCGUGCAGCCGGGAAGACAAGUCAGAUGUGAAAUCCCGCGGCUCAACCGAGGAACUGCAUUUGAAACUGUUU
rnacentral:rRNA from 1 species